UACGGGGGGAGCAAGCGUUGUUCGGAUUUACUGGGCGUAAAGCGCGCGCAGGCGGCACUUCAAGUAAGGUGUGAAAUCUCCCUGCUCAACGGGGAGGGUGCACUUUAGACUGAGGAGCUAGAGGACGGUAGAGGGGGGUGGAAUUGCUGGUGUAGUGGUGAAAUGCGUAGAUAUCGGGAGGAGCACCAGUGGCGAAGGCGGCUUUCUGGCCUGUUCUUGACGCUGAGGCGCGAAAGCUAGGGGAGCAAACGGG
rnacentral:rRNA from 1 species